AACGGAGCCGUUCCGUUUCGUUCCGUCCAACCGCGGCUGCUGCCUGCUGCUCCGCGACUUUUCCCCUCUCUGUUCCCCACGCGGCCACGCCUCGACCCACUGACAUCUUGGCCCCACCGCGGGCAUAACGGCCAUUUCAAAACUCCCAGCCUGCCUCGUGUGUGUGUGUGGCUUUAAAGCGACACGGUCGCCUCCGCUAGCUUUCUUCCCCAUUUCGUCGCAUCGGCAUCCUCUUGCUUCACACGCGCACCGCGAUUUUUUUAAUUUGGGGGUUGGUCUCUCUAUCUGGUCGGCGGCGGCGGCGGAGGGCGUAGCGAGGAUGGAGACGGCGGCGGCGGCGAUGCUGGAGGCCGGGGUGGGGCGGUUCUCGCGGGCGCCGGCGCUGGCCGCGGCGCUGCUGGCCGAGAUGUGGGCGCCGCUGGCCGUGGCGCUGGCGGCGCUAGCCACGCUGCCCAGCCUGCUGCGGCGGCUGCAGGUCAUCGUGCUGCGCCUCCGCUCCCGGGGGAAGGAGGUCAUCCAGUCGCACAUCGGGACCUACUACUCCUCCGGCGACGAGGAUGAUGAGGAUGAGGACGGCGACGAGCAUGACGAAGAGGAGAGCUCCGACGAGGCGGACACGAGCUCCUCCGGCGAGGAGGAGGAUCUGAAGCGGAUCGGGUUCUACGACGGCGCGGCGGACGGCGGCUUCCCCUGGGGCGGCGCCGUCGUCCGGACCUGGCAGGGCCUGCCGCGCGCCCUCUCCGGCUGCUCCAUCUCCACCUCCCUCGGCGGCGGUGGCGCGAGGUUCGCCGCCAUCAACGGGGCGCUUCCGGCGGUGAGGCUGUGGGCCGCCAGCACGGCCAGCUGCGAGCAGUGGUGGGCCGGCGCCGAUGAAGGCGGCUGCGCCGGCGGCGCGGCCGCGGAGGCGCUGCCCUCGCCCCCGGCGCCGGCGGACCAGGUGGUCGUCGGGUGGCGGCGCGACGACGCCGCGUCCCGGCGCCGGCGGCGUGCCCCGCUGCCCCGCCGCGUCCACGCCAACUGAAACAGGACGGGACGGGGUCACGGGGAGGGACCGGUGGGUGCGAGAGGCCGAUGUGAAUAUGCCGCAGGGCGACCAGCUGGAGAUGCCGAUUCCCCCGUUGGGGCCCACCUGCCAGUGGGAGGGGCUAAUGAAUAAGGAGGGGUGAUUAGUAUUGUGGGGGAGUGGUUAGGCGCCGCGCCGGAUUGGUUGGUGAGAUUAUUAUUUCAAAAACAAAUUGCUUAUUGAUUAGGGAAGGAACCAGAGGAAAAAGGAAAAAAGCAUUGGGGGCAGGUGCGAGGUGCACUGCGUGUUGUUGCUGUACACUUGUACUGCGCCUAGCUUGCUGGAAUUAGAAAUGCAUGCUGCAGCUGCUCAUUUUCUCUUGGAGAUGACGGUAAAAUCUUGCGCGCGUGUAAUCUGUGCCGCCAUUCUUUGAUUCAUGCGGCGAUGUGAUGAAUAAGGAAAAGAAAAUAGUACCGGUGCGGUGCUCCAGUCCCCUUGUUUCUCGAUGUGCCUGGAUGUGCAGUGUUGGGAGACAGAUGUUUAAACUUUAGCUCUUUGUCACAUUAGAUGUGUUCGGACGUUAAUUAAGAGUUAAUUACAAACUAAUAGCAAAACCUCUAAGCUAAAUUGAAACAUGAUCUAAUUACAAAAACUAAUAGUAGAACCUCUAGGUUAAAUCGCGAGACGAAUCUAUUAAGUCUAAUUAAUCAAUCAUUGUCAAAUCAUGAACAAAUUAGAUUUAACAGAUUCGUCUCGCAAUUUAGCCUAGGUUGUGCAAUUAGUUUUGUAACUAGUCUAUGUUUAAUAUUCUAAUUAGGGUGUUGGAUACCCCAUACUAAAAUUUAACACCUGUCACAUCGGAUGUUUAGAUGUUAAUUAGAAGUAUUAAACAUAGACUAAUUAUAAAACUAAUUGUACAAAUGGAGUCUAAUUCACGAGACGAAUCUAUUAAAAUGUGGUGCUACAGUAACCAUUUGCUAAUAAGAGAUUAAUUAGGUUUAAUAGAUUCAUCUCGCGAAUUAGCACAAGGGUUCUGCAAUUAGUUUUAUAAUUAGCUCAUAUUUAAUCAUCUUAAUUAAUAUCAGAACCUACUAUGUGACAGUGCUAUCCGCUGAACGAGCUCCUGUUGUCCGUGAAACGUCUUGGCAUGGCGGGUGGGUUCUCCCCUCAGCUGAGGGCCUGCCCGUCACUGUCAGUGACAGGUACCAAAAGAAGGGCGCGUACAAAUACGAAAGGGCUAUCGACACAUCAAAACUUGCUGAUUGACAGUCAGCUACAUAAAGGCUACUACUAAUCUCUCGGAUGGCGAUCUCUACUUUCAAGUGCACACGUAAAAUUGAAUGCCGUCUUUUUUAGAUGGAUUUUCGCGCGGCGUGUGCAGCACAUGUCGACAACCGACGACGGGUAACGGCGACAUGUCGCGUCGCAAAUGAAGCGCGCCUUCUUCGCGCGACGGGAUUCCGCGGAGGCUUGCUGAGACAUCAUCGUCAUCCAUGGUACUAGUAAUACGAUCGUUGUGAUUGCAGCUUCCGAGCAUAAGCGUACGCUCGCGUUCCCUCUUCUCGUCGGCAAACAGCAACAGGAUCACGUCUGAAAAUUGUAGCGCUCGGAGAAAUCUCAAAAGAACAAUGAAGAACCUACUACCUCGGCAGGGUGCAAAUGGCAUAGUAGCCUUUCCUGAUAGAAAAAGUAGAAUGAGGCCGGCUGUCACGGUCUCACCGUCAACUUCGCGCUCUCACCCGCAACUUCGCGGACGGAGAUGCAGCAUUAGCGUCGUCAUCAAGAAGACGAUGCAUGCACAUGCACCGGACGGACAGUUCGAGCUCUGCUGGGGUGCACAUCACGUCCUGCAAACGGACGGACCCAGCUAGCGUCACAUCUGACGCCGUCACGCGAGGCGGCGCCCGCCGCCCCUCCCAUCCGGCCGGCGACUCCGAGGCUCCCAGCACCGCCCCUUCCUCUCCCCUCAGAUGAGAUCCCGUCCCAGGAAGGAGAGGCCCCACGUCCCCCGAGGGGUGGAUCUCGGGCUCCAUGGCGCGGUGGCAGCAGAGGCAAGCCCCAUCCCCAUGGAUAAAAAAGUUGAGAUGCAGCAGGACGCAACGUUUUACGGACACGCGCGCGCGGUGGAUAAGGUUUGGGAUCUGCCAACUGCAUGCAGAUCCAAAUCCAACAGCAUCAGCACUGCUCUGCUGGUAGUACGUUGCUUUCGGGGAAAAGUACCGACAUGCUAGUUUUAUUUCGAUUAUAAUUACAAGGCCGGCAUGCUUAAUUUAAGUUCCCAAGCUUAGCAGCUAGCAACCGCUUUCGGUUGGGGCAGUUUUUCUUUUUCAGUAGGCCAUUCCGACAGACGCGGUUGGGUUUGCCAAAGCUUCUGACUGGUACGUGGGUCCGACCUCAGCAUUUCCAGCGACAGGCAGCAGCGGUUGUGCGCCGUCUUUUAUAUUGCAAAGGGGAAACAAAAAAAUAAAAAUAAAACGCGUAUACAAUCGCUUGACAGCUCCGAAUCUAAAAUGCUGAGGUCGGAGUUGCAUGAUGAUUUUAUCUCAACAUCAAGUGCGCACGCAAUCGCCGUUUUGCACAUUUCGUGGUUACAGUCGCCGCGCGCAUGUAUUGCUGACUAAUGACGGCGACCAAGCAACAAGGAACCUCUUCUUUGCCGCAACGCCGCCAAAUUCGCUUUCUUUUCUUCUUCUUCUUCUUCUUUCUUUUCUUUGAAAUGAAUGCAAAGUUCGCUUUCGUGCCAUCGAAUUCCAGACAGUGGGUUUCAUUUCACAUAAUCUCGCGUUUGAACCGUGCAAGGUCCAGUGGUAUGUAACACCACAAAAUCUAUUUAAUUCUCUUUAACUGUAUUUCAACAGAAAAAGUGUUCAAUUUUAUCUAAUUAUUUGAUUCUCUUUUAUUGAAAGGAACAUGGAACUGCAAAAGUGGCAUUUGAUGACGGUGCAUCAGUACAAAAUGUUUCCCCAAGUACUUCUGGCCCAAGGAAGGAAUGCCUGAAUCAUACAUGGCCAUUAAUUCCUUCUCUCAACUUCUGAUGGUAAUAUUUCAAAAUGAUGAUCAAUAUAGUCAUAUGCACAAAGAGUUCAAUUACUUUUCUUUUAUUUUGCAGGGAGUCAGCACAGAUGAUUUUAAUGCUGAAUUCUAACAACGGAGCUUGUGCUUGAGUGAAGCUUUUGGUUCUGUGUUUCAAAUGUUUAGUUCAGUAUGUCAUAUGCACUUGAGCAUUUGAGCUCUGCAACAUUUUGAGUUUCAGUAUGACAGAACAAUACAACAUCUUGAGCUCUGCAAAUUUCUGUUCAUUCCGUCUGGUCGCUGUUGGAUCGAUUCCGAACAGCGUAGAUGAGUCGACUGCCGAGUACAGUCACUGGGGGUGACUGCAGACGAUCUGAAUCCAUCACCACGGACAGACGGAAGAUGCUUAAAUUAAAUGGACAGCAAUUGACGAUAGGAUCAAUAUGGUGUACGCCAAUUGCGCAACACCAAAAUCAAUAUUGUUUUCUGCGAAUCCUGUUGUCACUUGAAAUAAUCCAUCACUUGCAAACACCGACUCUUAUGAUGAAAAAAUAGAAUGAAUCGCAAAUCAUAUUCAUAUACGUAUAGGAAGAGUUGGUAGACUUGGGCUGUGUCUCUCCAAAAAGAAAAGAAAAGAAGUGGAACUAUAGAAGUGCCAGCCAAACUGUGAUCAAAGUCCAUAAUCGCAGUUGGCCAAAUGGUCAUAAACUCCUUUUUUUUUUAUAUAUAUGUUCACCAGCAUCUCCACCUGUGGUGAUUGGCCUCUUGCUAAUUCAUCUUCAUCAACAGAAUGUCUAUCUGGUUCAACAUUGACUUCUUUGUCAAAUUCAUCUGCAAUCAGCCUCAAUGCUGUGCAGUCCUUCAGUGAUUUGUACCACAACAAUGGCUUUACUGAUGAUUGAUGAAGUUAGAAACUUUGAUCCAUACCAUGUUAAUGGGAAGGAAGCCCGGAGAGACAUUGUUCAAUAGCUUUAAUAGCCUUUGCCUAUUAAGAUUUUGUAUUGGUUGUACUGCUCUUCCUCUUAAUGAAAUACUUCCUCUGUUCUAUAUAAGUUAUUCCAACUUUCUUGGAGAGUCAAAGCAUCUUAAAUUUGACUAAAUUUAUACAAUAAAAUGCUAACAUUCAUGAUACCAAAUAAGUAUCAUUAGUUUUUUCAUUAAAUGUACUUUCAUAGUAUAUCUAUUUGGUGCCAUAAACCUUUGUGAUCCUCUCUAUAAUUUUAAUCAAACAUAAAUAGUUUGACUCUCCAAAAAAAUUGAAAUGAUUUAUAAUUUAAAAUGGAGGGAGUAUGUGCUAAGGCACGUUCGCGGAAAAUGCUACUGCAGAGCCAUGCAAAGGGCAUCGCUAAGGAAUCUGCUUGUUGACUGGAUCAGCUGUCAUCUGGGCCUAUAAAAUCUUAUUUUGGAAGAAUUUAUUUUAUUUUGCAUCUCAUUUGUUUGGAACAGCUAUUAUCUCGCAUUAAAUUUUUGUUCCUAUUGCAACGCUCAGGCAUUACCUAUAAGGAAAAAAAACACAGAUGUGUACAAUCACUAUACGGCCCUUAAAAUUGAAAUGGUUUUGGCCCUAUCGAUUUAUUGUUAGCGCCGGACGGUUUCAAUGACACUGCUUCACCCGCGAGGCAUAUUUCCGAGUUGAGGAACAUCUGUUUGUGUGUGUUCCGCUUUACAUUUAGGCUGAGGAUGCAUUAGGGCCACUUGGCAGAUCCGAGCCUAUUUGUUCCAAGAAUGCGUCUAGCUCCAAAAGAAAGCAACAAAAGUGCGUCCAGCCCAAAAAGCAGAGAGAUUCAGUUUUCUAUAGACCAGAACAGUGGAUGUAGUGCAACAAAAUCGCAUCGUGGGGCCUACUCUGUGUCAGCAACUGGUUGCCUAGCGCAUCACCCGCACAAUAAUCUCGACGGCAACAUCUCCACGGAUGGAAGAUGCCAAUAAUAGUGAACUACUUUUUUCCCUUGCGAAUCCAUGCUAUCACUUGAAAACACUUGCAAACGACUCUUCUGAUGGGGAAAAAAAAAUUGAAUCACAAUAUGAUGAGGUGGUAGACUUGAGCUCCUCUCUGUCUAUCUUUAAAGAAAAGAUAAACAAAAAA
rnacentral:lncRNA from 1 species